UACGUAGGGUGCGAGCGUUAAUCGGAAUUACUGGGCGUAAAGUGUGCGCAGGCGGCCGAGCAAGUCGAGUGUGAAAGCCCCGAGCUUAACUUGGGAAUUGCGCUCGAAACUACUUGGCUGGAGUGUGGCAGAGGAAGGUGGAAUUCCAGGUGUAGCGGUGAAAUGCGUAGAGAUCGGAAAGAACACCAACGGCGAAAGCACUCUGCUGGGCCGACACUGACACUGAGAGACGAAAGCUAGGGGAGCGAAUGGG
rnacentral:rRNA from 1 species